AUUGAACGCUGGCGGCAGGCCUAACAAAUGCAGGUCGAGCGAGGGGCGGACGGGUGAGUAAUGUAUGGGGAUCUGCCGGAUAGAGGGGGAUAACUACUGGAAACGGUGGCUAAUACCGCAUACUAUCGGAUAAACCCAAAUGGGAUUAGCUAGUAGGUGGGGUAAAGGCUCACCUAGGCGACGAUCUCUAGCUGGUCUGAGAGGAUGACCAGCCAGACUGGGACUGAGAAACGGCCCAGACUCCUACGGGAGGCAGCAGUGGGGAAUAUUGCACAAUGGGCGCAAGCCUGAUGCAGCCAUGCCGCGUGUAUGAAGAAGGCCUUAGGGUUGUAAAGUACUUUCAGCGGGGAGGCGUUACCCGCAGAAGAAGCACCGGCUAACUCCGUGCCAGCAGCCGCGGUAAUUC
rnacentral:rRNA from 1 species